UUUUAGAUUAUGUAGCUUGAAAAAUAAUCAGGGAAUUUGUAUUUAUUUUUUACACUCAAGGGCAUUAAGUGCUAGAAAGAUUAUAAAAGUAUUAAAAACUAUUUGUGUUGUAUUCAAAGUCUUCUGAAGUCAUACAAUAAGUUUCUGUGAAAAGUUUCAACAUUGAGGUAUUAAUUGCUGAAAAUAAUUCCACUCCAUAAACACAGUCAUCAUAAAAUACAGCUGAAUUUGAGUUUAAGAUAAAAGACAUCAAAACUGACGUAAUAAAUGUCCCUGUCCACAGCGUUUGUCUGUUGAUGCAAAUGUAUCUUAAUGAAACCAGUGAAAUACCCUGCACAUGGAAAAACUGCACUAAAUAGACAAACUAAAUAUUACGCCAAGGGCUCCUGACCAAGAGUCAAGGAUUGAGAAAGAGUAAAAGACGGUCCCCAAUGAGACUGUGAAUUGUGAAGCCUGUUUGGUUGCCUUACAUUUAUCAGUAUUUAAUAUUCUGUUUAUCUAUGAAACAACAAUGUUGAUAAUAACACUAAAACAGCCAUUCUUUCCAUCAGAAAUAGUUAAACUUAAGUAAAAACAUAAGACAUAGAGUGACUCGUCAGAUCGAGAUGCAAUGCAUAAGAGAAUGGCCAGCAUGCUGAUGACUGGUCAUACAGAAGCUGAUCAUACAGAUGACCGUCCAUACAGACCGCAUCAUACAGACAGUGAUCACAUCCUGAUGUAACCCAUCGCUCUCCAGCUGGAGGAAGUGCUGCUUCAUAAUCACAGAACAUUCACUCACUAUUAAAGUGAUUCUGGCUGCUAGAAGGGAGAACAUAUCCUACAACAUGAAAAAGUCAAGUCAACAGUUCACAUUGUUCACUCUAAACAAGAAUAUCACUUCAUCAGAAAGUUCAUUCCUCAAAAAAAAAAGCUGCAUGCAGAAUCUGGAUUGUUGGGACAGCUACAUUCGACGUGGUGGAAAGCAAGCAAGGGAAACCAUGGGCACCAAUCUCAGUGUGUCCUCCCAGGUCCAGUGUUUGGCAGAGGAGGCAUGUGUUGGGGUGACCUCCUUCCUUUCUUCCAACAGUGUCUUAAAGAAAGAACUGAACAAAUGAAGAUUAAGCUUUCUUCAAUCGACCCGAGGCACCACUGGAGGAAAGGUGGACAAAGUCAGGAAGUUUGUGAACAAUGUGAUGGCCAAGUUUGUUCUCUGUGUUAAUGGGAGCAUUGUCCAUCAUCCACACAUAGUGUUUGACAAACCUGAGCUAUAUUUAAAUGAGGAGGUUCAUUUAAGCCCUAAGGGAAAAUGAUAUAUAUUUUUUUAACUGAUAUUAUCCAGUGUCUGAAAGACCACAGACCAUAAACCUGAUGCUGGAUUGGUGCAUGUUAUGGGAAAGAAGGUCUCCUGUAUUUUUUUUAAGUACCUGUAAAAGUACCCAGCAGUGUGUUCAACAAAUGCCUGACUUAAUAAAAGUAUUCCCCGGACUUACUGCUAUGAUCUUAUUUUAUUUAUCUAGCAUUUAAAAAUAAAAUAAUAUACAAUACUUACAAUAUAAACAGCUUCUUUGUUAAAAUUUCAACCUAAAUUUAAUAAUAAUAAAUUAGUAUCUGGUAAAAUUAAAUACUAUUUGUAUCAUUUCAUUUAUAAAUUACACUUAAAUAGACCUGCUUUCUUUUCUGGGCUUUGCUUGUAUGUCCAAAUAUCUGCUCGCUGUGAGAGGCCAGGUGAUAAUGUGGAGACAUUAGUGUUAUUAGCAUAUGAAGAGAGGAGACAAUCAGUUUACCAGACACUGCUGGGGGAACUGGGGGUGUGGGGAUUCUUUAAAACAAGUCACUUUGAUUCGGAUUGAUCUGCUUUAAGAUUAUGUAGCUAGAAAAAUAAUCUGAUUUUAUUUUACUUUUUUAUAAUGCACUAGCCAGGAAAGACCAUCAUACACAUUGUAGAUACUGAACAAAAUCAGUUCAUUUCAAUGUUUCCAUGUUUAGGUCACCAUUUUGUUCACUACUGCAUGGUCAU